rnacentral:rRNA from 1 species
UACGUAGGGGGCAAGCGUUGUCCGGAUUUAUUGGGCGUAAAGAGCGUGUAGGCGGCCACACAGGUCCGCUGUGAAAACUCGAGGCUCAACCUCGAGCUGUCGGUGGAAACCGUGUGGCUAGAGUCCGGAAGAGGAGAGUGGAAUUCCCGGUGUAGCGGUGAAAUGCGCAGAUAUCGGGAAGAACACCCGUGGCGAAGGCGGCAUCCUGGACCGGCAUUGACGCUGAGGCGCGAAAGCCAGGGGAGCAAACGGG